AAGACUAUACUUUCAGGGAUCAUUUCUGUAGCUUGUUGCUGGAGAGGUUUCUGUGAAUGUGUGGUACGCCCAGAACACGAGGAGGCGGUGUAGUCUUCUCUCCCGAGCCAGAAGCCAGCUUUUGGUGUUGCCUUUGCAGCUGCUGAUGGCCAUUGGUGGUCGUUCUGGUCUUCCUUUGGGAGAGUAAGAGGGAGAGGAUGCAGUCUGAGUGGC